GACAGAGGGGGCAAGCGUUGCUCGGAAUCACUGGGCGUAAAGGGCGCGUAGGCGGGAUGGCAAGUCGGUCGUGAAAUCCUUCGGCCCAACCGAAGAACGUCGGCCGAUACUGCCGUUCUUGAGGGAUGCAGAGGAGACUGGAAUUCCCGGUGUAGCGGUGAAAUGUGUAGAGAUCGGGAGGAACACCGGUGGCGAAGGCGGGUCUCUGGAACGCAACUGACGCUGAGACGCGAAAGCGUGGGGAGCAAACAGG
rnacentral:rRNA from 1 species